rnacentral:rRNA from 1 species
CUUUACUGUAAUCUGAUUUUGAAUUUCAUCCGUAUUCGCGCAGAUAUAAGUGGGAGACUAUGAAAGUCUUUUUUUGGAAAGAGUGUAGUCCUAAUAUGAGAUACCACUCGAAUCCGUAUGAAAUUCUAAUUUCAUAUCGUUAUCCGAUUGAAAAACAAAUUUAGAUAGACAGUUUGACUGGGGCGGUCGCCUCCCAAAAAGUAACGGAGGUAUACAAAGGUUUUCUCAUAUCGGUCAGUAAUCGACUUUAGAGUAUAAAGGCAAAAGAAAGCUUGACUGUAAGACAAACAAGUCGAACAGAAACGAAAGUUGGUCUUAAUGAUCUGACGAUACUGUGUGGAAAGGUCGUCAAUUAAUGGAUAAAAGUUA